rnacentral:rRNA from 1 species
CUGUCCUACGGGGGGCAGCAGUGGGGAAUAUUGCACAAUGGGGGGAACCCUGAUGCAGCGACGCCGCGUGGGUGAAGAAGUCAUUCGUGACGUAAAGCCCUAUCAGCAGGGAAGAAAAUGACGGUACCUGACUAAGAAGCCCCGGCUAACUACGUGCCAGCAGCCGCGGUAAUACGUAGGUGGCAAGCGUUGUCCGGAUUUACUGGGUGUAAGGGGCGUGCAGCCGGGAGUGCAAGUCAGAUGUGAAAUCCCGCGGCUCAACCGCGGAACUGCAUUUGAAACUGUGCUUCUUGAGUGCUGGAGAG